AUACUCAAUACGUUGUAGGUCAUUUUUUAUAACCAAAAACUGGAUCAUUUUAAACACCUUACCUCUUACUAACCCUCGAGAUCGAAAACUCAGCGACACUGUGAUUUCUGGCAAUUUGAUUAUGCAUCUAACGAUAGAAAAGUGAGUAACUCAAUAAACAAGUAACGAUUUACAUCUUUGCCAAUUGAAAUUACACGUUUUCCUCGGGGUCGGUGUACGGGCGAUGUCGUGGGAGCUUUGUCAACAUUGUAAAAUUUAUCCAAAAUUUUUCAAGUGAUCCCUGUCAGAUUUCUCCAUUUUCAUCGUUACUAAGAGCACCUAACGGCAUUUGCAAAGGUGUGUGGUGUUACGAUAGUUGGCAGAAAGCGCCUUCAAAUCCACUAAGAAUUCUUUCUAAUUUUGUUCAAAAUAAUUUCAGAUAACAGAGGAAGGCUACAAAUAUAUUUCCAUGGGUUGUGGUACUUUGACAACGAUUAUUUUGAAUCAGCUGCCAGGAUUGAGGGACGGGUGUAUACAGGCAUUGACAUCCGAAUGUCGCACAUUGAAGAACGUUUCUAUCAUGAACUCGCCAUUCUUAUCGGAUGCUGCAUUCAAAUGCCUGGCAUCGUGUAAGAAACUUAACAAGAUUAGAGUCGAAGG